UAGGCAAGAGGUGUAAGUGUAGUAAUACAUUAAGCUAACUUGUACUAAUAGGUCGAGGACUUAACCUAA
rnacentral:rRNA from 1 species